rnacentral:lncRNA from 1 species
CAUUUUCCAAAGAGGAGCGACUGAAGAAGAAAGAGGGUGGAGGUGGAGAUGUGGAGCUCAUAUUGAAUCUUUGGAAAAGUGAAAAUGGCUUUUAGUAUCCAGUAAGAAGAGUAAAUAGAAGAAUUUUAGCCACAAAUGGAAAAGAAAACGUCUCUUCCUCAGCUCAAAGAGACAAGCUCUUGUCAGUUCCUGUAAAAUUUAAUGCUGGUGGGUCUGGAAGCACAUUUCUCAGACACCCUAGCAAAUAGGAAUGACCAAGUAAUAUAAUUUUGCAAAUAAAAAUAUGCACAAUAUUUGGUGGAAAUUUCUCACAAAAUCUUGCUUUCCUCACAUAAAUGUUUCAUCUUCAUGCUUGUUGCUUUCUCUUUUUCCUUCCUAUUCAGAAAGGAGAUGGAUCAAUAAUUGUACAAGCAUGAAGACAAAUGCCAUAUCACAGCAAUGGUGAAAAGAAAGCCUAGAAGAAAUUUGUCUUCCCAACUUUUUUGGAACCCCUGAAUCAGAUUGACUGCCUCGAAAUAGACUUCUUUUUAAACACACAAAAAAAGUAAUCUCAUUUUUAACAGCCAUAAGAAUAUAC